rnacentral:lncRNA from 1 species
AAUAAAAGAUUAUAGCCAUUGACUAAUAUACAGUUCACUUCUAAAUCAUAUGUUGAGCUCUUACACCUUAGUGGCUCAAGAGUCAAGACAACAACAAUGUUCAAUGCAUAAUGUAGUCACAUAAAAUCCAUAACAUGCAAAAAUAUGUCAAUGACAGUUAAUCAAAUACCUAUGAACCAUUAUACUAUUUAAAUCUGACUCCACAGUAUCCAUAUCAGUAGGCCAAAAGGUAAAGACAACAAGCAGCAACCGAAUAUGUGGCAGAUUCAAACAAUACAUAAGGUUAGACUACACCAUAAUCCUAACUGCAAGUGUUUUAAAUAAUUGCAGUCCAUAACCACAAUUACUUCCUUAACAAUGUUGAAAAGUACACAACUACCGUAUUUAUUCACGACUGCAUUUUUCCACAAUUGUUUUCACUUUCGGUAUUUGAAAUGUAACCACAGUUUGCAACUGCACCGCUACUUGAAACCAUUUUGAAUCCAGGAAUCUAUUCUAGUAUAGCUGAAUUCAUGCAAUAGAUUAUUAGACUACAACAAACAUGGCGAGAGAAAUUACUAUCACAAAAAAGUAUUCAUGCCCAUAAGUGCAAGCUAAAAUCAACUUUCACAUGAAUUACUAGACAAUUAUUAAGACUUAUAUACAUCGCGAUUUUGAAAAAGGUUAUAAAAUUUAAAAACAAAACCAACAGUUGUGUAAGUAGGAAAUGCAAAACGUUAACUAAACUAUCUCAAACUAGCUCCAAUCAAGUCCUGAACAAGUAUUCAAAUCGAAUAUGGAACACGAUAACAAAUUAAGGNNNNNNNNNNNNNNNNNNNNNAUAAGAUGACUCCUCCUUAAAACGUUUUAUACACGUAUCAAGAAACACCUGCUCAGACACUACAAACGGAUAAGUUAAGCUUGCAUCCUUUUUUCGCAAACCUUUCUUCAACAGAAAUUGCACAACUGAGGCUCUCGGAAUGAUCCUUUUUUCCAAACUAUUUGAAAAAAUCGCCGGUCCUUUUANNNNNNNNNNNNNNNNNNNNNNNNNNAAAAGCUCAUCACUAAAUUAAUUUUAUCAAUGGAUGCCAACAUACAAUGAGGCAUCUUUUUAAAUGCUUCUCGAACAUCUUCAUCAGACCACCCCCACUUCUUAAAGGCAUUGACUUUUUCUUUCCACAGUGUUUUGCUUACAGUUAGCUUGGCUUUCAAUGCUAUACCAAAGGAUAUUCUUGAAGGAUUAAUACCCAAAUCCUUCAAUUCCUCAAUCGACUAAAGCAUGCAAGGUGAAUCUGUAUUCAAUGUCCGAGACUGCCUCCGAAGCAAUCUUGCAAUGGUUGAGUCUGUAACUCCAUUCUCAAUCAGCAUUGUGAUGUUAUGUGGCACACGACAGUCGCAAAGUAAAGCUGGAAAUUGUAUUGCACUAGCAAUAAUGCCCUUGUCUGAUUGCAACAAUCUAUAAACCAAUUCAUAGGUUGGGACUUAGAAGCACCUUUGGAGAGUAAAAAUUGAAACUUUGGCAACACCCUUAUGGAGGGGUUGCAGGAAAGUAGCCCUGGUACCUUUGCAACGAUAUCGCGAAGUUGGGAGUUAGAGAAACUAUUAAAGAAUGUGAGAACAGAAUCAGGUUUUUGGGCAGUCUUGAAAGUAACAUUGUAAGUGGAACAAAGUUUGGAAGCAGAUUGUGGGGAAAACCCAAACAAAAUUGUUGAUGAGAUAGGAAACUGCAAAAGAGGUUGAAUCUGAAGUGUUGGUAGAAAAAUGUACAGAAAAUGGUGAUGGGUAUUGGUUAGGUUUUGGUGGGAAAGUUAGGUUUUUGAGAUAGAGAAAAGAUCUAUUAAGCGAAAUCAAACGAAACAAUGCAUGAAUGAAUGAAAGAAUGAAUAAAACCAAAACUAAAU